AGAACGAACGCUGGCGGCAUGCCUAAUACAUGCAAGUCGAACGAACACUUCGGUGUUAGUGGCGCACGGGUGCGUAACGCGUGGGAAUCUGCCCUUGGGUUCGGAAUAACAGUUGGAAACGACUGCUAAUACCGGAUGAUAUCGAAAGAUCAAAGAUUUAUCGCCCAGGGAUGAGCCCGCGUAGGAUUAGCUAGUUGGUGAGGUAAAGGCUCACCAAGGCGACGAUCCUUAGCUGGUCUGAGAGGAUGAUCAGCCACACUGGGACUGAGACACGGCCCAGACUCCUACGGGAGGCAGCAGUAGGGAAUAUUGGACAAUGGGCGCAAGCCUGAUCCAGCAAUGCCGCGUGAGUAGAUGAAGGCCUAGGGUGUAAAGCUCUUUUACCCGAGAUGAUAAUGACAGUAAUCGGGAGAAUAAAGCCCCGGCUAAACUCCGUGCCAGCAAGCCGC
rnacentral:rRNA from 1 species